UGCUGAACUACGACAUGACGUUCAUCAUGUACGCCUUUUCUUCUCAAUCGAGUAGUUACUACUCUUACAUGCAGAAUGUCAUACGAACAAUACUACAAAGAUAUGGUUAUGGGCGAUGUCGAUACACGUUUAUUGUCUACGGAGGAUCUUCUGUAACGUAUUACAGGUUCGACAGUAAGGCAUUCCCAAACUUGGAAAUGUUGCUGAGAGCCUUUGCCAGAAUUCCUAGAGCAAUUGGAGGAUCUGCGACUAAUUUAUCGCACGCAUUUGAACAUGCCAAGGUUAAUUUUCAAAGCGAUUCCCGAUCAGAUGCUUGGAAGGUUCUGGUGUUAAUGAUGGACAGGAAAACUGGAAUGAAUGAGGCAACACUGCGCAGUAUGACCACAUCUUUAGAAGAGAUGGGAGUGUUUAUCAUACCAGUAGGAAUGGGUCGUGAAAUAGACAUAGUAGAGUACUACUACUUCACUGCCUACAAAGACUUUGUCACAUUUUCAUCGGAUUACACGUCUAUUUCAUACUUGAACAUUGGGGAAAAUAUCAUGAACCGUGUCGUCCGAUUUGAAUACGUAGACAUGAUGUUCGUGAUCAACGCAGGCUCCGUCAACUCAAAUGUCACUUAUCAAUUGAUGAAAAAUUGCAUGCUGAAGAUGAUCAGGAAAUUUGGAGUUUACAGAUUUCGAUAUUCUGUUAUCAUAUAUGGUUCUUCAUUCACAAAAAAUGUGGAGUUUAGCACUACUUUUCCAUACAGAGAUGCUUUGAUUAACAUUGUCAAUGGCUUGGUUCGUCAGAGCGGGUCUUCAGCUAUCAUUACUGCUAUGGGAGCAGCAAACACAAUAUUCAGCGGUCUAGAUUUUCGCUCUUUCAGAGGCUUAGCAGUAAUUAUGGAGAAAUCCUCAGGCCAAAGUGCCGUUGAUUUACAAAAUGCUGCCAAACCUCUUCAUGAAAAUGGUGUACUUAUAUUAGCAGCUGGUGUUGCUGGUGAAGUUACUUACCAAGAGCUACGAGCACUAACCAUCUACAAGAGCUAUGUCGUUCAAGUGUCUACUAGCUACUUUCCAUUUAUGUUAUCUAAUAAUUUUGCUUCAAGAGUCGUUAACGAUGGCGUUGAAAAGGCCGACAUCGCCUUUGCCGUUUCUUUGUCUGAAGCUGCUGAUGCUACUACUCUUUUGAUGAGAAACACUUUGCGUCAGAUGGUCUUGCGCUACGGCAUUUAUCGUUUUCGCUAUAGUAUCAUUAGAUAUGGUAGUGCUCAGUCAGUUACGUUUGACUUUGGAAGCAUUUUACCAAACAAAGAGGCUAUCCUUAACGCGAUUAAUGGUCUCUUACGAUUUGACCUGGCAAAGGAAACAGAUGAUAAAGACGUGUUUGAACAGGCAAGGGUUAUUUUUACAUCAAGACCAACCAGAGAGGAAGCCAGAAAGGUCUUCGUAAUCAUGAAUGACAAAGCUUCAGCUAACUCCCCAUCAGAGUUGGAUACAGCCAGAAGGAGCCUUCAAGAUAUUGGUGUUACUAUCAUUAAUGUUGGGAUGGGGAGUAGACCAAAUUUGGAUCAAUUGAGGCAAUACACCAUCUUCAGAAAGAAUGUGAUCUUUCUACCCUCNCUACCUGUGAACAGCUUCGAUGUGGCAAGAAGGAUAGUCGAGAAAGUCACCAGAGUGCCAGAAAUCGACAUGACCAUCAUGGCCACCUAUGUUGAUACAACUUCUCCAAAAGUUAAAGAUGUCAUGAAAAAUGCAAUCAAAUACAUAUCAGACACCUAUGGUCCAGUCAAAUUCCGAUUCAGUCUGGUCAACGUAGGACCAACACCAGCUAGGGUGUUUGAUUUUGGUGUUGCACUGCCAGACAAAGAAUCAGUUCGAAAAGAAGUUGACAAAAUCUCUCCUGUUUCUGGAAAUCCCAGCCUUAAACCAGCUCUUGUGGAAGUGGAAAAAUUGUUCAAUGAGUCUUCUCGUCGGCCAAAUGCCCGGAAGAUCAAUUUAAUUUUGACCGAUCGAACAUUCAAUGAUUCGAUAAGCGAUAUCACAAAUGCCAUGAAACCAUUGGAUAAGCUAGGGGUCAUGAAUAUAGCCGUUGGAUUUGGACCGAAACCAAGUAAAUGGGAGCUCACAACAAUAACGCGUUCUGAAAGAGCAGUUGUACUGCUAGACGAUGACAAAACAACAUCAGCACAAGCAGGAGAUGAAGUGAUGAAAAUUAUUCUGGAUGAUGAUGCCGAGGACACAGUUUUGACAUUUAGUGUAUCUGCAACUACUCCUCAAAAUGAAGAAUUCAUCAAAGAUGUCCUGAAGGCUGCCAUUUGCCGAUUUGGUCCUGAUGACGUGGUCAAAAUCAAUAUCAUUCCCUUUGGUCCUACUGCUUCUUCACCAAUCACACUUGAUACGUCUAAGUUUCCGAAUGAAGAGGCUAUUCUUGCUGCUAUAGAUAACAUUACCAUCCCAUCAGGAGAUCCUUCAAUAGCUAAUCUUCUUGAUGAAGUCAAAAAUCUGUAUAACAAAUCAGCUCCAGACAUACCAGAAGAUUCCAAUAAAGANAUCAUUAUUGUCACUGACAAAAAAGCUUCUGAUACUCCAGCNGCAUUGGAAACGGCGGUAGAAUCNNUAAAACAAGCAGGAAUCAANAUCAACACGGCUCCCUUAACACCUGAAGCUGCUCAAGAUAGUAAAAUAUUAAGUGGGGAAGAAGAANCCACGGUUAGUGUGACGCCAAGUAAUAGCCCUGUUGCAGCUGCUGAAGAAGUUAUGUCAGAAGUUGUCAUUUCAAACGAAGAAGUACAAGACUUAAAUAAUGAAGUCGGUUGUGGCCCACUGCUUGACAACUACUUGUUGGACAUUACAAGUGCAGCAUUCAGCGCAUCAUCCGGGACGCCUGGAACCCCCUUAAUAUCUAGCCAACCUUGGAUUCCAAGUAGAGCGGAUCUCUCACAAAAUCUCACUGUGGAUGCAGGUCGUUUAGUACGUGUCUCCAGAUUUAGUUUUGGUGGUGACCCAACGAAAGCCAAAUCACCUAGUCAGAUGGAGAUUUAUUUCAGUAACGAUGGUGUUACAUUCACCUGCAUAUUGAAGAUAAACAUGUGCAAGAGGUAUGCAUCUACAGUACCACCCUCAGUUCCAGGUUCUCAUGUCAGCACUGUUGACCUUGGGAAAAUAGUAGAAGCUCGUUAUUUCAGGUUCAACCCAAUUGAACCAGAUCCAUCGGUACAAGGAGCUGAAACAGCAUCUCUUCGUGUGGAGCUUCAUGGAUGUAUCAAAGUCACUCCAAUUAUGGACAUCAUGUUUGCAAUGAGCGCCACGUCCCCUGAUGCAGUGCAAGUAUUCACAACAAUGAAAAACACUGCCAAAAACAUUGUCAAUCUCUACGGAAUAACUGAUAUCAAGUAUUCUACAGUGGUGUUUGGUUCUUCUGCCAACUUUGUAAACGUGUUCGACUUUAGCACGACAUUUGCAAAUAAAGCUGCCGUAAUUACAGCUAUCGAUAGUGCACCUCGUCAAACGGGUACUCCAUCAAUAACAGAUGCAUUUACGAAAAUAAAGGCCAUUUUUGACAUUAAAAGUCGCCCAGGUGCCAUUCGAGUACUAGUGGUCAUGAUGGANAUGAGUCCAUCCCAGGUGGAAAACGCUGUCAAAUCUGCAGCAGCAGAAAUGCGAUUAGGAAAUGUACUCAUAGUGACACUGGGGGUUGGAAAAAAAAUUCCUGCUCAAAACCUGGAAUGGAUGACUUUGAAUAAGUAUUACGUAAUGAUGGCGCCAUCCAAUGAAAACCCUCGACAUUUGGGCGUUGGCAUCAUGUCUAGAGCUCUGAAAGAAAUCGACCUGACGUUUGCAGUAGGCGCAAAUUCUGCUAANAAAGCAANCACUUUUNNCUUGAUGAAAAAUACCAUGAAAGACAUCAUCAACAAGUAUGGAAUCAAGACUGUCCAUUACAGCGUCGUAAACUACGGGUCAUCAAGUGGAGUCAUCGAGAAAUCCUAUACAAACUUCCUUACGUAUUCCACAACAUCAUCAUUCAGUAAUUACAUCGANACUAUUAGUCCUAGACCAGACACUGGCGCUCCUUCCUUGAACAAUGCACUCAGUAAGAGUAAAGACUCUUUUAAUGAUCCAAAGGUUCGACCAACUGCUGAUAAGACCAUUGUUAUUAUGAUUGAUGAUGAUUCGACUGAGAAUAUGGCUUCUUUACGAACACUUGCUGAUUCAAUAGAAAUGACAGGAGCAAGAAUCAUCCCUGUUGGAAUUGGAAAAGAAGUCACGAGGAAGCAAUUGAUGACGAUUACUACCAGUGAAUAUGACGUAAUCCACGUUNAANACAGCAUCACAAAUCCUGCCCUGCAAGAAACAAUCAUGAAUAAUGUUUAUAAAAUUUACAUGCCAGAAGUUGACCUGACAUACAUCCUCAAUGUAGCAUCUACCAGUGCUAAUGCUGUCUUCACUUACAUGCAGAAUGUAAUGCUAUCUAUAACUGCUCGAUACAGCGUAGGUAAAAUUCGCUACAGUGUCAUCGUUGUCAAUGGAAGUACACCAUCAACUGUCUACAAAUUUGGAAUCGUUUUCCCAAACAAAGAAAUCGUCGCUAUAGCACUAAAGAAAAUAAAAAUGGACAACCUUGGGGGUUCGUCACUUGACAAAGCUCUUCAAUUGGCCAAGACAAAUUACGAUUCGCCNAACGUGCGUUCUUUUGCUCUGAAGUUUNUAGUACUCAUCACAGAUAAGCGAUCAGGUAUNAUUGAAGCUGUUUUACGUGGUUCAUUCUCAUCUCUUCAGAACGCAGGAGUACGUGUGAUACCUGUAGGAAUAGGCAGCGAGGUGGACGUAUUAGAAAUGAACUAUAUUACAGCAUAUAAGGAUCAAGUUGUUCUUAUGUCGCCUGACAAAUCCUAUGUGUACAAUGGGGAAGAAUUGAUGGACAGGAUUGUACGAAUUCCCGAAGUUGAUGUCGUUUUUGUACUAAAUGCUGACUCCGCCAGCUCUGACACCACCUUUGGCUUGAUGCAAAAUGCUACAAAAAUGAUUGGAGAAAAGUUUGGAGUUUCCAGAUUCCAAUACGCUGUGGUUGUUUAUGGAAAUACACUCAAAAAAGCAUUUGACUUUACCGAGAACAUUCCUUACCGAGCUGCUCUGAUCGAAAAGAUCAAUAGCAUUUCUAAAAUCUCUGGAGUAUCUAGACUUUCUGACGCCUUGACAGAAGCAGCGAAUGUUCUUAAUGGAGGCAAAGCUCGUCCAAAUGCAAGGAAAGCAAUUGUCGUCAUUCAAGACAAGAGUACUGGCUCAAGCGUGAGCGAUUUACAAAAUAUGGCAAAACCUCUUUUCUCCGAUGGAAUAAUAGUGAUUGCUUCAGGUAUUGGAUCAGGGGUGCCAAAGGAAGAGCUACGCGCCCUAACAACCAGAAAUGAAGACGCUAUCAGUGUUGGUAAUAAUGAGCCGGAGGGUGCAUUAGGAGACAAAAUUGUGGCAAGAAUACUUGAAGAUGGUUACCCUGAACUUGAUCUGCUGUUUGUCAUCAGUCUUUCUGCAGUCAAUACAAACACUCAAAGUCUCAUGAAAGACAUCUCCACAUCCGUUAUCAAAAGAUUUGGAAUCGAUCGCAUUCGCUAUGGUGUCAUCCUUUUCGGCGACACAGCCGUAGCCAAGUUUGAUUUUGGCAGCAUUCUUCCUGAUCAGACAUCGAUCGUUAAUGCAGUCAAGGCACUUCAAAAAGUUGACGAGAGCACAAAUCCUAACUUAAAGUUAGCCAUGGACAAAGCUAAAGAANUGUUUGAAAAUGGUCCGGUUCGAGGAAAUGUGAGAAGAGUACUGGUUAUUCUCAUGGACAAGGAUACAACAUCUAGUAAAGCAGAGCUAGAGACAGUCAAAAGGGGUUUGCAAGACCAACGCGUUACUAUCAUUCCUGCCGCUGUUGGUCCAAACGUGGAUCCAGAAAAACUGUACAAUGCAACGGUGUUUAGAGAUCACGUAACGCAAAUACCUGUUGGUUCUGCUCCUGCAGAAGCUGCUGAAGAGAUCAUCCGAAAAGUACCACUUCCUACCAUCGAUUUAGUAUUCACAGCUACAGCAGAUUCUACCACAUCAAAUGAGAUAUUCAAUAUUAUGCAACAAACAGUACAGGCUAUCGGCGACAAGUACGGCACACGAAAAGUUCGCUUUAGUCUGGUCACUUUUGGAACUCCACCCGUAGUAGUCUUUGAUUUCAAUACCACCAUCCCAGACAAAGAAUCGCUGGCUAAAGAACUUGCAAAGGUGACGAAGCUCAAUUCCAACCCUGAUUUACCAGCUGCUAUUAAAAAAGCACAGGAAAUCUUCGAUUAUUCUCCCCUUCGAACUGAAUCAAAGAAGGUUUUAACAGUCAUAACUCAUCGAAAAUUCAAUCUUGGUAAAAGUGACAUUAGAAAUGCCGUUAAACCUCUUGAUGAUAAAGGUGUUCGUAUCGUUACUGUUGGUUUGGGCAACGAUCCCGAGCAAAGUGAGCUGACAAAUCUCACUCGCACUGAGAGAGCUGUCAUACGACCAGUCAGUAAUGAUGGAGGCAAACAAGUGGCUGAUGAAAUACUCAAGGUCAUUUUGAAUGAUGGAAUCCCUGAAAAGUACGUGACAUUUGCAGUCAGCGCAGCUAGUCCUCAAGCUGCGCAAACACUCCAGACAAUGAAGGAAAAUAUUAAAGCAAUAGUGAGAAGAUACGAUCCCAAAAAGUUCAAGUAUAGCGCAGUAGUGUUUGGGGCAACUGCAAGUACAGCUUUCAAGUUCAACCCAGACAACGUCAAUCAGGAUGCUUUAGCAGGACAGCUGGAUAGCAUAUCCCCAGGGGCUGGUGAUCCUUCAUUGAUCAAUGCUCUCACUCACUCUGAACAACUAUUCAAAGAUGCUGUCUUUACUGGAAAAACCGAUAAAGUCAUUGUUCUUAUAUGGGAUAAAAACUCAACGGAAAAUGCUGCAGAUAUUAAAGCCACAGCAAAAAAUAUAACCAGUAGUGGCAUUCGUAUCAUCUCUGUACCAAUGAUUCCAGAUCCACAAAGCGCAGCUUAUGCGGCGAAUCCAGCAGAAGAAAAGGUUAUACCAAAUUCCCUUCAAGCGGAUCCUGCGCUUGUUUGUGAGGAGAUCGUGGACGUCAUACUUUCAGUCCCUUGUGAAACGAACCCAUGUAACAACGGUGGAACGUGCUUUCAAAACACUUGCAUCUGUAAACAAGGAUUCUCUGGUACCUACUGUGAAAAAGUUGACUCAUAUGAUGUUGGUUGUGGUCCAUUGUUGGAUAACUACUUGCUUGAAAUCACUUCGUCCUCAUUCAAAGCCACGUCAGGAAAUCCUGGAAUUCCUCUUCUAGCAAAUACUGCCUGGGAUCCUAUAAUAUCAAACCAACCACAACAUUUGACUGUGGAUCUUGGGGAGAAUGUCCAGGUCACAAGGGUCGGUUUUGGUGGGAACAAAGCUCGAUCUAAUUCACCAAGCCAACUCACUCUAGAGUUUAGUAUUGAAAACAGCAAUUACACAUGCAAGAAAACUGGCCUCGCCUGCAGGAGAUACUAUAGUACUAAAAAACCACCAGUGCCUGGAACUCAUGUCUCGUAUGUUGAGGUUAAUAAGGGUGACCCAGUCAAUACUCGCUAUAUCAGAUACAUGCCAGUAAAGCCUGAUGCUUCCUUGAAACCAGGGGGAUCUUCUCUUAGAGUUGAAGCAUAUGGAUGCAUAGACGCGUACCCUGACAUGGAUAUCCUGUUUGCCAUGAGUGCCACAUCUCCUACAAACGCUUCACAGAAUCUCGAUCUAAUGAGAAAGACGGCGAAAGACAUAGUCACUCUGUAUGGUGUACAUCGGAUAAGAUAUGCAACCAUGACUUUUGGAGCAACUGCAACCACUGUUUUUGAUUUUACUAAUUCUUCAGUUUCCAAAGAAUAUGUGUCCUCUAGAAUCGAUGGGGCAACUUCAGGAAGCGGAACCGUUAACAUGGAAAAUGCUUUGAACGAAGCAAAGACAAUGUUUGACAAUGCAAAUCCUCUACGUCCAAAUGCUAGGAAAGUAUUGAUCGUCAUGACAGAUAAGGAUACCAGUACGACCAAGGCAAACGUUGAGAGCAAAGUAAAGGAACUCACAGACAAAGAGAUUAAGAUUAUUGGUGCAGGAGUCGGUAUGGAAAUAGACAGAAAUCAACUGGACUGGAUAACGCUUAACAAGUUUUACGUCAUGUACGUUGCCAGUGAGGAACAACCUCGGCAUUUUGGACAGGGUAUCAUGACCAGAGCCAUUAAAGAGUUUGACAUUACAUUCGUUAUCAGCUCAACUUCUUCUGGAACGGCACGUAUCUAUCCGCUCAUGAGAGAAACGCUGAAAGAUAUAGCCACCACGUAUGGGAUAAAGACCAUUUAUUACAGCAUUAUUAUAUUCGGUUCCAAAGCAGCAAGUCCACCGGCAAUAGUAGUCAGGACCUUCACCCAGGUUACAUCCCAGUUUCUUGACAAGAACGCCUUUGGCAAAUUUUUUGACAAUCUUGAUAAGAUAUCAGAUGGAAGAACUCCAAACGCUCUCGACGAGGCUUUGAAACUGGCUGAAGAUGGCUUCAAUGACCCGAAAGUACGAAAAAAUGCCGACCAUGUUGUUGUGAUUAUCACUGAUAAAGAUACUGCGAAAGAUCUGAACUUGAAACCUCGUGUAAAUACAAUGGAAAAUAAAGGCAUAAGAAUAAUCCCAGUUGGUAUUGAAAAUGAAGUGACAACAAAAGAACUCCAAGGGCUGACGUCUAAUGAUUAUGACGUAAUCCAUGUUUACAAAGGAAUUACUAAAAAUGAUCUUCAACAAAGAAUCAUGCACAAGGUUUAUCGACUUGACAUGCCGGAUAUCGACCUAACUUUCAUCAUCAAUGCCGUCGCAGCUGAAUCUGAUGCAACGUACACUUUCAUACAGAAUGUCAUUCGAUCAAUAAUCCAGAGGUACAGCUAUGGCAGAAUUUACUACAGCUUUAUCUUCUAUGGAAGCGUGCCUACGACUAAGUAUGACUUUGGCAAUCAGUUCCCGAAUAAAGAAGUCCUUUUAAGAGUAUUUUCAAAACUUCCCAAAAAUGACCCAGGAACCUCACUUGACAAGGCUUUGGAAGAAGCUAAGCGAAUCUACCAAACAAACCAUGUNAGAUCNAAUUCCUGGAAAAUUGUAGUGAUUCUGUUCGAUCAAAGAUCUGGCCUUACUGAAAACGUCUUGAAAAACGUAUCUUCACCUCUCCGUGAAAUUGGGGUUCGUAUUAUUCCUGUUGGAAUCGGCAGUGAUGUAAGCUACCGAGAAAUGGAGACGAUCACUGCUUUUGAAGACUAUCCUCUGACUGUGACUAGAAGCAGAAAUCCUGUAGAAACUGGAGAGGAGAUCAUGAGGAAAUUCCUUGGACUUCCAUUUGUCGACGUUGUGUUUGUCAUUAAUGCUAACUCUGUUAAUAAGGACACGACAUUCCAGACAAUGAAAAACGCAAUCAAACAGAUUUCUGACAAAUUUGGAGUUGAUCGGUUCCACUAUAGCGUUGUUGUGUACGGUGACGCCAACAUCAAGAAGGAAUUUGACUUUGACAGUAAAAAUCCUUUUGAAAAAGAACUCCUUACCAACGUUGAUAAAGUUGCUAUCAUUCCUGGUUCAUCAAAGUUGAUAGACGGUCUUAACGAAGCCAAAAAGAUACUGGACACUAACUCAAACGUCCGUCCAAUUUCUCGAAAAGCAAUCGUUGUGAUCUCAGACAAAUCGUCUGGUCAAACUGUACCUGCUCUUGAAUCAGCAGCAAGGCCACUUCACGACCAAGGAAUAAUCGUUGUUGUCUCGUCCAUUGGUGAUGCUCCACCAAGAGAAGAACUACAAGCAUUGACAACCAGAAAAGAUAACGUAAUUCAGGUUACUAAUAGCGAUACUAGUGGUUACCUUGGUGACAGAAUUGUUGUAAGAAUCCUUAAAGAUAGUAUUCCAGAAAUUGAUAUCAUGUUUGCCAUCAGUGCAUCGGCGGAGAAACGAAACGUCACAAAACUAAUGAAAGACAUUAUCAAAUCUAUCAUCUAUCGUUAUGGGGACGACCGAGUCCGAACAAGUAUUGUCGUGUUUGGUCCAACACCAAAAACAAUAUUCCACUUUGGUUAUGAUUUCCCUAACGAAAAAGAAAUUCUUGAUACGAUUGAAAAUCUUACUACUGAUGAAACAACACAGACCCCAAAUCUGCAGAAGGCUUUGGAUGGUGUUCGACAAUUAUUCCAAGAGGUACCAGUUCGUCCAAACUCUCGAAAAGUAUUAGUCACCAUUAUUGAUAGACCUUCUGACUCCACCGAGGAGGUGCUAAAAAAUUCUACAAGAGAGCUACAGAAUAUUGGAAUUACGCAAAUCCCUAUUGUUAUCGGUAACGACGUGCCUAACAAUCAGAUUGAAUCAAUCACCAUCUUCAAAGACAAUGUAAUCAAGACUCCUGCUAAUACACCAUCCUGGGAAAUAGGAGAGGAAAUCAUCUCUAAAAUUAUUGGUCUGCCCGAGAUUUUCUUGACAUUCGCCAUCACAACUGAAGCGGCCGUGGAUAGCAAAACGUACCAGCUGAUGACCGACACUGUCAAACUAAUGGGAGAUAAAUAUGGAAUAAAGAAAAUCCACUACAGCAUUGUAACGUUUGGAGACCCACCAAAGACCUUAUUUGAUUUUGAGCAAACUUUACCUGAUAAAGAAACUUUGGCUAAGGAAGUCGACAAGCUCCCAAAGUCCGAUGCUCCUUUAUAUUUCGAUGCAACGAUGAAAGAGGUGGAGAGAGUCUUUGAUAAAACACCAAUAAAACCAGAAUCAAAGAAAGCUUUGGUGAUUAUGGUACACAAGACAAUUGGUGCUAACGAAACAGUUAUUAAAGAUGCUUUGAAACCUCUCAACAAAAAAGAAAUUAUUCCGCUCGUCGUUGGCAUUGGAAAUGCUCCAAGUUCUGAAGAGAUGGAAGAAAUUGCAAGAACAGAUAGAAAGGUGAUCAGGCCUGCAAAUGAUGAUGGACCAAGACAAGUGGUGGAUGAAAUCAUGAAAAGAAUUAUUGGCGAUGGCGUCCCUAAAACUGAUAUCGCCUUUUUAAUCAGCGUUUCUUCGGUAAACAGCACCGAAAUCGUGAAUCGUAUCAAAGACAUCAUCAAGAAUAUCAUCAUUCGAUAUGGCAACACGAAAAUCCAUUACGGGUUUGUUACCUUUGGAAAUACCGCCUCUAAAAGAAUAGACUUAUCUUCAGAUGUUUCAACCAAGCAAGAGCUUGAAGCAACCAUUGAUUCUGUUAACGCGACUAAAGGCAGUCUGAACAUCACUAAAGUGACUAACGCCGCAAGUGAAAUGCUAAACGGGUCAAAGGCAAGAAAAGACGCAAAUAAGGUUGCCGUUAUCAUGUAUGACCACACACCAGAUCAAGAACCUGAAAUAUUAAGCGAGGCAACAAAACGCCUGGAAAAAGAAAAGAUUCUCGUUAUCCCUAUUCCAUUUAGCCCAAAUAAUUCUAAGGCGAACGACAUAUCUACGAAUAAUGAGCAUGUAGUUCCACCCUCCNUUGGNNAUAAUCCUGUAGACGACGCCGAAANNAUAAUGGAUGUAAUAUUGAAAGCUUCAUGCAGUGUUAACCCAUGUCUUAACGGUGGAACAUGUGUGAGCAAUGUUGGGUAUACUUGCAACUGUUUGCCGGGAUAUUUUGGCAGAAACUGUCAAAUAGGCUGUGUCCAAAAAGAACUGGGCGUCAUGGUACCAGGAAAUGACGGCAAGGAACAUCCACGUCUCUCUGAUAGCCAAAUAACUGCAUCUUCGCAGCGUGACCCAAGCUAUGCUCCUCACAGAGGCAGGCUCAACAUGAGAGAGAUCCCGCCACUAUAUCGUAGCGGAUGGUGCGCCAAUCCAAGCGAUUUUGCGCCACAUCUUCAGAUUGACUUUGAACUAAAUACUACUUUUACAACAUUGAAGACAAAAGGAAUUACGGAUAAUACUGUGGGCGACUCGUACAUAAAAUCUUUCUAUGUGAGCUAUUCUAACGAUACGAAUGGAAACUGGACAGAGGACCAGAAGGAUGGCAAGAAGCACAUUUUUACCAGCGGCCGCUCUCCAACUGCCAACAACUUUACAUCUUUUGUUAAAGCACGAUACCUUAGAAUUCAUCCAAUUUCUUCGUAUGGUUCUCCAUGUAUGCAGGCAGCUGUCUAUGGAUGUGAUUCAAGUAAGUAGUAUUAACGACCUCGAUAUCUAUUAAGGUCAACUUAGUUGACAGUAUUCCCCGAAAGGAAUUAUGGGUCAACUAUUUGGUUANCAUUUUUGGAGCAGAGGCCGACGAGUACAAUAGCCCAAAUAAUCCUAAGGGCAACAAUAUAUGUACGAAUAAUGACCAUGUAGUUCCACCCUCCGUUGGGGAUAAUCCUGUAGACGACGCCGAAAGAAUAAUGGAUGUAAUAUUGAAAGGUAACUAGAGUUUGAGGAACUAUAUUAAUCAUGUUUGCCGGAAUACUAUGGCAGAAAUUGUCACAAAGUUUAUUGCGAAGUGAACCCAUGCAAGAAUGGUGGAACUUGCUUUCAAAACGCUUGUUUCUGUAAAAGUGCAUUCUUUGGGAGCUACUGCGAGAAUGCUGUUG
rnacentral:misc_RNA from 1 species